rnacentral:tRNA from 1 species
GCUUAGUUAGUUUAAACAAAACGCUAGAGUGUGGAUCUAGAAAUUAAAUGAAUUUUUAACUAGGCA